CUGGCUCAGGAUGAACGCUAGCUACAGGCUUAACACAUGCAAGUCGAGGGGCAGCAUUGGAGUAGCAAUACUCAGAUGGCGACCGGCGCACGGGUGAGUAACACGUAUCCAACCUGCCGCUUACUCGGGGAUAGCCUUUCGAAAGAAAGAUUAAUACCCGAUGGUAUAAAGAGUUCGCAUGUUCUCUUUAUUAAAGAAUUUCGGUAAGCGAUGGGGAUGCGUUCCAUUAGAUAGUUGGCGGGGUAACGGCCCACCAAGUCUACGAUGGAUAGGGGUUCUGAGAGGAAGGUCCCCCACAUUGGAACUGAGACACGGUCCAAACUCCUACGGGAGGCAGCAGUGAGGAAUAUUGGUCAAUGGACGAGAGUCUGAACCAGCCAAAAGUAGCGUGAAGGAUGACUGCCCUAUGGGUUGUAAACUUCUUUUAUAAGGGAAUAAAGUGAGGGACGUGUCCCUUUUUGUAUGUACCUUAUGAAUAAGGAUCGGCUAACUCCGUGCCAGCCGCCGC
rnacentral:rRNA from 1 species